rnacentral:rRNA from 1 species
CAGGAUGAACGCUAGCUACAGGCUUAACACAUGCAAGUCGAGGGGCAUCAGGAAGAAAGCUUGCUUUCUUUGCUGGCGACCGGCGCACGGGUGAGUAACACGUAUCCAACCUGCCCUUUACUCGGGGAUAGCCUUUCGAAAGAAAGAUUAAUACCCGAUAGCAUAAUGAUUCCGCAUGGUUUCAUUAUUAAAGGAUUCCGGUAAAGGAUGGGGAUGCGUUCCAUUAGGUUGUUGGUGAGGUAACGGCCCACCAAGCCUUCGAUGGAUAGGGGUUCUGAGAGGAAGGUCCCCCACAUUGGAACUGAGACACGGUCCAAACUCCUACGGGAGGCAGCAGUGAGGAAUAUUGGUCAAUGGGCGCUAGCCUGAACCAGCCAAGUAGCGUGAAGGAUGAAGGCUCUAUGGGUCGUAAACUUCUUUUAUAUAAGAAUAAAGUGCAGUAUGUAUACUGUUUUGUAUGUAUUAUAUGAAUAAGGAUCGGCUAACUCCGUGCCAGCAGCCGCGGUAAUACGGAGGAUCCGAGCGUUACCCGGAUUUAUUGGGUUUAAAGGGAGCGUAGGUGGACUGGUAAGUCAGUUGUGAAAGUUUGCGGCUCAACCGUAAAAUUGCAGUUGAUACUGUCAGUCUUGAGUACAGUAGAGGUGGGCGGAAUUCGUGGUGUAGCGGUGAAAUGCUUAGAUAUCACGAAGAACUCCGAUUGCGAAGGCAGCUCACUGGACUGCAACUGACACUGAUGCUCGAAAGUGUGGGUAUCAAACAGGAUUAGAUACCCUGGUAGUCCACACAGUAAACGAUGAAUACUCGCUGUUUGCGAUAUACAGUAAGCGGCCAAGCGAAAGCAUUAAGUAUUCCACCUGGGGAGUACGCCGGCAACGGUGAAACUCAAAGGAAUUGACGGGGGCCCGCACAAGCGGAGGAACAUGUGGUUUAAUUCGAUGAUACGCGAGGAACCUUACCCGGGCUUAAAUUGCAGUGGAAUGAUGUGGAAACAUGUCAGUGAGCAAUCACCGCUGUGAAGGUGCUGCAUGGUUGUCGUCAGCUCGUGCCGUGAGGUGUCGGCUUAAGUGCCAUAACGAGCGCAACCCUUAUCUUUAGUUACUAACAGGUUAUGCUGAGGACUCUAGAGAGACUGCCGUCGUAAGAUGUGAGGAAGGUGGGGAUGACGUCAAAUCAGCACGGCCCUUACGUCCGGGGCUACACACGUGUUACAAUGGGGGGUACAGAAGGCAGCUAGCGGGUGACCGUAUGCUAAUCCCAAAAUCCUCUCUCAGUUCGGAUCGAAGUCUGCAACCCGACUUCGUGAAGCUGGAUUCGCUAGUAAUCGCGCAUCAGCCACGGCGCGGUGAAUACGUUCCCGGGCCUUGUACACACCGCCCGUCAAGCCAUGGGAGCCGGGGGUACCUGAAGUACGUAACCGCAAGGAUCGUCCUAGGGUA